CCUACGGGUGGCUGCAGUGGGGAAUAUUGGACAAUGGGGGGAACCCUGAUCCAGCCAUGCCGCGUGUGUGAAGAAGGCCCUCGGGUUGUAAAGCACUUUCAGUGAGGAAGAACGCCUGGUGGUUAAUACCCAUCAGGAAAGACAUCACUCACAGAAGAAGCACCGGCUAACUCCGUGCCAGCAGCCGCGGUAACACGGAGGGUGCGAGCGUUAAUCGGAAUUACUGGGCGUAAAGCGCGCGUAGGUGGCUUGAUAAGCCGGUUGUGAAAGCCCCGGGCUCAACCUGGGAACGGCAUCCGGAACUGUCAAGCUAGAGUGCAGGAGAGGAAGGUAGAAUUCCCGGUGUAGCGGUGAAAUGCGUAGAGAUCGGGAGGAAUACCAGUGGCGAAGGCGGCCUUCUGGACUGACACUGACACUGAGGUGCGAAAGCGUGGGUAGCAAACAGGAUUAGAUACCCUAGUAGUC
rnacentral:rRNA from 1 species